AUACGGAGGGUCCGAGCGUUAUCCGGAAUCAUUGGGUUUAAAGGGUCCGUAGGCGGGAAUCUAAGUCAGUGGUGAAAUCUUGCAGCUCAACUGUAAAAUUGCCAUUGAUACUGGAUUUCUUGAAUUAGUGUGAAGUGGUUGGAAUGUGUAGUGUAGCGGUGAAAUGCAUAGAUAUUACACAGAAUACCAAUUGCGAAGGCAGAUCACUAACACUAUAUUGACGCUGAGGGACGAAAGCGUGGGGAGCGAACAGGAUUAGAUACCCUAGUAGUCC
rnacentral:rRNA from 1 species